UACGUAGGUGGCAAGCGUUGUCCGGAAUUACUGGGUGUAAAGCGCGUGUAGGCGGGAGGCCAAGUCUGCUGUGAAAUCGCCCGGCUCAACUGGGCGGGGUCGGUGGAAACUGGUCACCUGGAGGACGGUAGAGGCGAGUGGAAUUCCCGGUGUAGUGGUGAAAUGCGUAGAGAUCGGGAGGAACACCAGUGGCGAAGGCGGCUCGCUGGGCCGGCCCUGACGCUGAGACGCGAAGGCGUGGGGAGCGAACGGG
rnacentral:rRNA from 1 species